rnacentral:rRNA from 1 species
GACGAAUGCUGGCUGCGUGCUUAACACAUGCAAGUCGAACGGUGAAAGGGAGCUUGCUCCCUGGAUCAGUUGCGAACGGGUGAGUAACACGUGGGCAACCUGCCCCUCACUCUGGGAUAACUCCGGGAAACCGGGGCUAAUACCGGAUACGACCUGGUGUGACAUCGCACCGGGUGGAAAGAACUUCGGUGAGCGAUGGGCCCGCGGCCUAUCAGCUUGUUGGUGGGGUAACGGCCCACCAAGGCGACGACGGGUAGCCGGCCUGAGAGGGCGACCGGCCACACUGGGACUGAGACACGGCCCAGACUCCUACGGGAGGCAGCAGUGGGGAAUAUUGCGCAAUGGGCGAAAGCCUGACGCAGCGACGCAGCGUGAGGGACGAAGGCCUUCGGGUUGUAAACCUCUUUCAGCGGGGACGAAGCGAAAGUGACGGUACCCGCAGAAGAAGCACCGGCUAACUACGUGCCAGCCGCCGCCGUAAUAC